CUACUCCCCAGGCAGAGUUACCUUCUCCCCAGACUACUCCCCAGCCAGAGUUACCUUCUCCCCAGACUACUCCCCAGCCAGAGUUACCUUCUCCCCAGACUACUCCCCAGCCAGUUACCUUCUCCCCAGACUACUCCCCAGCCAGAGUUACCUUCUCCCCAGACUACUCCCCAGCCAGAGUUACCUUCUCCCCAGACUACUCCCCAGCCAGAGUUACCUUCUCCCCAGACUACUCCCCAGCCAGAGUUACCUUCUCCCCAGACUACUCCCCAGCCAGAGUUACCUUCUCCCCAGACUACUCCCCAGCCAGAGUUACCUUCUCCCCAGACUACUCCCCAGGCAGAGUUACCUUCUCCCCAGACUACUCCCCAGCCAGAGUUACCUUCUCCCCAGACUACUCCCCAGCCAGAGUUACCUUCUCCCCAGACUACUCCCCAGCCAGUUACCUUCUCCCCAGACUACUCCCCAGCCAGAGUUACCUUCUCCCCAGACUACUCCCCAGCCAGAGUUACCUUCUCCCCAGACUACUCCCCAGCCAGAGUUACCUUCUCCCCAGACUACUCCCCAGCCAGAGUUACCAUCUCCCCAGACUACUACCCAGCCAGAGUUAGCUUCUCCCCAGCGAGUUACCUUCACCCCAGAUUACUCCCCAGCCAGAGUUACCUUCUCCCCAGACUACUCCCCAGCCAGAGUUACCUUCUCCCCAGACUACUCCCCAGGCAGAGUUACCUUCUCCCCAGACUACUCCCCAGCCAGAGUUACCUUCUCCCCAGACUACUCCCCAGCCAGAGUUACCUUCUCCCCAGACUACUCCCCAGCCAGUUACCUUCUCCCCAGACUACUCCCCAGCCAGAGUUACCUUCUCCCCAGACUACUCCCCAGCCAGAGUUACCUUCUCCCCAGACUACUCCCCAGCCAGAGUUACCUUCUCCCCAGACUACUCCCCAGCCAGAGUUACCAUCUCCCCAGACUACUACCCAGCCAGAGUUAGCUUCUCCCCAGCGAGUUACCUUCACCCCAGAUUACUCCCCAGCCAGAGUUACCUUCUCCCCAGACUACUCCCCAGCCAGUUACCUUCUCCCCAGACUACUCCCCAGCCAGAGUUACCUUCUCCCCAGACUACUCCCCAGCCAGAGUUACCUUCUCCCCAGACUACUCCCCAUCCAGAGUUACCUUCUCCCCAGACUACUCCCCAGCCAGAGUUACCAUCUCCACAGACUACUACCCAGCCAGAGUUAG
rnacentral:lncRNA from 1 species